GGAUUGGGUUAGUAAGUUUAAUAAAUUAAGCAAAGUUUUAUUGUAGCUUAAGGAUUUUCUGGUUAGUCGGUAUAUAUAUAACUUUUAGGGUUAUUUUUCUAGAGGGUAUUUCUUGUAGUAUAUAUUUUUAAGUAUUAAUUUUAUUUAGACUUGGUGAUUUAAUUUAGUGUGAACAUAAUUUGUGCCAGCAGUAGCGGUUAUACAGAUUAUGCAAGAAAAUUUCAAUAGGAUCAAUAAGGUGCUUUUUGGAGCUUAGAUUUAAAUUUUUUAGGUGAAAUUUUAUGUUUAAUUUAGGUUUAGUUUUUGUUUCUGAAUUUGGGAAAUUUUUGUUUAGACUAGGAUUAGAUACCCUAUUAUUUUUAAUGUUAAUUUUUGAUUCCUUGAUUAUUAAUAGUUAUGUUCUUUAAAAUUAAAGAAUUUGGCGGUAUUUUAGUCUGUUCAGAGGAACCUGUCUUUUAAUCGAUAAUCCACGAUGAGUUUGACUUUGGUUGAUAAAUUUAUAUAUCGUUGUUUGUAAAAAUUUUAAGAGGAUUAUAAUUUUUAGUAUUUGAUAUUUCAUUUUAUUUCAGAUCAAGGUGUAGUUUAUAUCAAAGUUAAGGUGGGUUACAUUUUUUUUAGAAUUGGUUUCUGAUUUUAUAAGUUGGGAUAAAUUGGAUUUGAAAGUAAAUUAUUUAUUUAUGUUUUUUGAUUUAGCUCUAAAAUAUGCACAUAUCGCCCGUCGCUUUCAUUUUAACGUGAAAUAAGUCGUAACAAAGUAGGUCUAUUGGAAGAUGGACCUGGAAUUA
rnacentral:ncRNA from 1 species